rnacentral:lncRNA from 1 species
UGUGCUGAGAACACCGCGAAGAAGCUGAGUAUCUCGCGGGAGGAGCAGGAUAAGUACGCCAUCGGCUCUUACACCCGAAGUAAAGAGGCGUGGGAUGCAGGGAAGUUUGCAAAUGAGAUUACGCCCAUCACCAUCUCAGUGAAAGGUAAACCAGACGUGGUGGUGAAGGAAGAUGAAGAGUACAAGCGAGUUGACUUCAGUAAAGUGCCAAAGCUCAAGACAGUGUUCCAGAAAGAAAACGGCACAGUAACAGCUGCUAACGCCAGCACACUGAACGAUGGAGCAGCUGCUGUGGUUCUCAUGACUGCAGAGGCAGCCCAGAGGCUCAAGGUUAAGCCACUGGCACGAAUCGCAGGUUCUUAAAUAUGCAGGACUGAAAAAAGAAGACAUUGCCAUGUGGGAAGUAAAUGAAGCAUUCAGUGUGGUUGUACUAGCCAACAUUAAAAUGCUGGAGAUUGACCCUCAAAAAGUAAAUGUCCAUGGAGGAGCUGUUUCUCUGGGCCAUCCAAUCGGGAUGUCUGGAGCUCGGAUUGUUGUUCACUUGGCUCAUGCCUUGAAGCAAGGAGAAUUCGGUCUGGCUAGUAUUUGCAAUGGAGGAGGAGGGGCUUCCGCCGUGCUGAUUGAGAAGCUGUAGACAUCUUGUUUUAGGAGACAGUUCCACGUGACCCGCUGAAGUGAACUACCCCUUGGGCCAGAUUAUAUUCAGGAUAAGCUAUUUCAUUUUUUAUUAUUUUCUACUAAAAAUUUUUAAAAAUCACAUCCAAAAACCCAUUGAAAUUGCAAAUAAAAAUUUCUCCUCCUUUAAUAUUUUUUGGUAAACAGUCGGAUACUCUACUAUUUGAAAUACACUGUAGGUACUAGAGGCAUGGCUCAGCCGUUAAGAGCACUUGUUGCUACCUGUGUGGUGCAUGGCUUUAAUCCCAGCACUUGGAGACAGAGGCAAGUGCAUCUUUCUGAGUUUAAAGUUAGCCUGGUCCACAGAGCUAGUGCCCUGACAGCCAAGACUACACAGAGUAGUAGAAACUCUGGGGGGAAAAAAAAACAAAUAAAAAAAAAAGAGCAUUUGAUUCCAGGACCCAUAGAGGGUGACGUACAGCAGGGAGGACUUGCACACUGUACUACGAACAGAAAUCGGAGAAGUGAAAUACCACGCUUUCUUCCCCCUCCACUUGCAAGUAAAGGAAGCCAUCCUCGGAGAGAGUUUGAAACAGGUUCUCUCCUGAUGACGGCAGAGUAAAAGUUCCAGCAUUUUAUGUGUAAAUACACCAAAGAUCAUCACAACAGCAGCAACAAAGCCUGACUCUCUCAAGCCCCCAAAUAACCUAACAUCCACGGACUUCUGUCUGCCACCAGAGCGCACACUGGAUGUUUAUGUUCUGUUUGGUUUUGAACUUUAAUCCUUGGACAGUCAAAAUUGGUUUCAAAUAAAGUUAUGUGAAUAGAAAUGAAAAUUUAAA